ensembl:lncRNA
AUGUGUUCCAUAUCUGAACAGCAGUGUGAUCAUUUGGCUAAAACCUUCCAUUCCGGUGGAUUUGGCUUGCUUGUAGUGAUGCCAGCUGUUCUCUCAGCCCUCAGCCUGCUCUGUGUGAUGCUGAGAGUGGGGCUCACUCUCUCGUCCUGCACUCCCAGUGUGAGCACAUUGGAUUUAGGCUGUCAUCUACAGUGGAACUGUUCUGAUGUGAACUCCAGCACCACCUUCACUGUCCAUACGAUGGCUCAAGGAGAAGAGUGGCAAAACGUGUCUGAGUGUUUCCAGAUCUCCUCCUACAGCUGUGAUGUGUCUCAGGCUUUCACAGACUUUGUUGUCUUUAACUUCAUCAGACUGGAAAUCAACCAUGGACAUGGAGAGAUUCAGCGGACCUCAACACAGCUCUGCGACCCCCUCAAAGACCCGGAUGCAAGGUUCAGUCCUCCCUCUGUCUUCGUCUCUCUGAAGGAGCGCAGGCUGCAGGUAGAGGUGGCUUUGCCCUGUGCUCCUUCUGUGGCCUGUGAAAGCAUGCAAGAAGAAGAGGAAGAUGACAAAGACACAGCUCUGAGCUGCUGUCCCCUCACCCACUUCCUUAUGCCCAAUAUCACAGUGAUGCUUUACAAUAAGCACGAUACAGCUGAUACUCAGACUCUCACUAGGGUGUUUGAAAGGAGUCAGGAGAGUCUGGAGUUUGGUUUGCUGGUGUUGGGUCAAGAAUACUGUGCUGUGGCCCGCUUUGCUUCCUCACCCCCCUCUGAGCCACAGUGUGUUCAUGUCCCAUCAGCAGAAAGCCUGUACCUAGCGGCGCUGUGUGGGGUGCUCAUUGCUCUUCUUCUCAUUGCAGUGUGUGUGCUGGGGAGACAGUGUGCAUCAUCUGACACCCAACUCCCAAAAUCUCUGAUGUCUCUACAGAAUAUGGAGCAUGAGUCCCCAUUUGUGGGUGAAUCUGAGCCAGCAGCACCAGAAGAUGAAGAGAACUCCGUGGUUCUCCUGUCCAUCGUAUCGUUCUCCAACCUGUCUCCUCUUUCAGAGACCCAGUUGACCCGUUCACACUCCCACAAUCUUGAGAAUGGGUAUUACGCUUCAUCCAUUCUGCAGCUCCAGGCUUUCGAUGAAGACAGAGACGAGGGGUCUAAUAUGGAAACUGAUGGAGGUGUAUUUCCUGAUCAUUAUCCAGGGCAUCUAUGGCCAUCAGAUCAAACUCACACAACAGGCCCAUCAUGUUCACAGGAAGCCUCUCCUCAUGAGGGUGAUUCAUGCAUCCCUUUGAGUUCUGUGAGAGUAGCUGGGGCUCAGAAAGAAGAGAUGCUGCUGGAUGACUUCCCCAAAAUACUUAUGAAAGUGAACAUUAGCGGUGGUUCACCAUGACUGGCUGAUGGAAAUCAUGGAGAAUGGAAAAUGAGCUUAAUGAUGUCUUUCCAUAUCAAACUUGGAUGUGUGUUGACUUGAUCCAGGCCAUUCUGAAACAGUGCACAGGUCCAGUAUAUCUGCACAGGAUCACUGUCUCACAUUAUUUGAACGGAUACCUUUUCUCAUGAAGGAGAGGGAGAUGGAGGAUCGCUGGUAUAAAAAUGCAUUCAAAUUCAUGAAUCUGAAGGUGGUGAUUGAACUGCUUUGAUUUUUGAAACAAAAAAUCAGUAAAGUUUGCACAUAUUUUGAGACAAAAUUACAAGUCUCAGGCUAUUUUCAAAAGCCAAAAUCCAACAUUUGGCGUGUUAUGUGGAAAAUCUAUAUUCCACUAUUAAACAGUUUGUGUACUGCGUAUUUUUUAAUAAUUAUAAGUCACACCCAAAUAAUAGAGUUCAAUCAUAUCCUGAAUUUUUUGAGAUGUUACGAUGGCUUGAAUAAUCUAAAGAAUCGGAAUUAAAUAAAGUGGUUUAGCCAAGUAUUGUUUCUUACAUCUUCUAAAAAAUGUUCUUUGUGGGUUCUGUAUAAAGGACAAUGAUGAUAUACAGCACUAUGCAAAAGUCAGAGACCAACCUGAAAUGAUUUACUUUAAAAACAGCUAACAUUACAUUUUUCAACAUUAGAAAUGUGAUAUAACAGAAAAUUAGAGGCCUCAAAAAACUAACUAAACUAAAAAAACUUAACUAAAUCUAACUUUUUUUUAGUGUUUGUGUCAACGCUUUACCUUUAUUACAGUUUCCAUCCUUUUCUUUUUCUUCUUUCUUGUACUUCCUUUUCCUGGUAAGGCCUUCAAGUCCCAUUACCUCUGUAUCUUUUAAUAUUUAACUCUUUUUUUGGAAGCCCCCCUAUUUUAUCUGUCUGGAUAUCUUAUUAUAAGAUUGGAUAUUAGAUAUAUCUAAUGUCCUCAGAAAGAUCAGCAAAAUGAAUAAUGCUUUGACAGGAAAUUAAAUAAGUUAAGUGUGGUCUCUGACUUCUCCACAGUACAGUGUAGAACCAUCACAACUCAAAGAACCUUCUGACUGCUUAAAUGGUUCUUCUUCGUAAUUGUAACCUGUUGUAUAUGGUUCAGUCAGGAUAAAUAAUCUUUCCCGCGAAAGUUCCUUUAAAGCAUAUUUUUGCUGAAAGUGUACACGUUUUACAGGAUACUGAUUGUGAGCUAAACCUUCCAUCAUAUAUGACCAUCAGUCUGUUUUGUGUAGUUGGAUCAUGACCUUGUACAUAUGGAGUCAUUUUAUGCUUACUGUUUGUGUUGGCUCAGCAUGUUUUAUGUAAGUAUAAAUCAAAUAAAUGGUCAAAUGGAAAGACCCUCGAUCUGUUGGCCACUGUUAAUGGACUCUUUUUGCUGUUGGUUUUGGGAUACCCCCAUACAGCCGUGUGACUCAUUUCUGUAGGCUGCUAUAAAUUCUUUCCCAUUGGGUUUACCCACCCCCCCGUGGACUCAAAUGUUCUCAUGGGCGAACCUUUGGGGGGGGUAUACACUACACUCUUGUGGCCUUCUAUAGCUUGUGUUUUUUUUCU